rnacentral:miRNA from 1 species
AUACACCUGAAAGCUUGUCUCAACCUGGACUCAGUCAGGUGAGCAAAGUUUCAGGUGUGUCA